GUUUUUAUUGACCUGGCAAAUUCCUUCCAAUUAUUUUUAUAUGAAUAUAUUCAUAUAUUCAUCAAUAUAUCAGCACAUACUUGAUAUAUGGAAAUAUGUAUUUUCACUAUUACCAUUGUAAACUAAACAUGGUAAAAUGGAUCCAGUUAAAUGAAAAGUAAUUAUCAAGGAAAGAAACAACCACUAGUUUUGUUUAAUGUAGAGCUUGCUCCACAAUAGUAAAAUUGUUUCACUUAAUUUAUUUGUAAAUCACAGGCAAUGUAGGACAAAAUGGAUUUAUGCAUAUGAUCUCUUACUCCUGAGGAUCAAUGGAAAGAAAAGGAACAUAACCAUUAAGAAGUCCAUACUGGGCUAUGUCUACUUGAAAGAGAGCAGAACAUGGGGAAGAAACUUCUUUAUUUUCCCUGGAUUGGAGAAGAGUCAAAUAGGCCAAAAGAAUAGAGGUCAGAGAAGAGGAGCCUGGCUGGUGGAAACAUCUCGCCUUUUCUGCUUGGGUCAAAGCUCCAUUCCACUCUCCGGCUUCCAUGGAGGAAGGGCUGAACUGUGCCAAGUUAUUUUGCGGUUUGGGACAAAGAAUUGAGCACAGUGGUGAGUUGUUUUGAAAUGAGAGACCGAGCCAAGGAUAUGUUCACUUAGUGAGAGGUCGCAUCUUCUGCAAAUAAAAAAGCAAUCAGAUCUCUCUCAAUAAGACUGGUUGUUAUGUGAAGGCACUAUAAAUUAUAAAUAAUAUGCAAAUUGUAUUUAUUGUUGCUAUUGUUCUCUACUUCUGUGGUGUAACCCAAUAGUAGCAGAUGCCAGUCACUUUAUAAAAACUGGAACUAAAAAUCAAGAACUACAGUUGACCUUUGA
rnacentral:lncRNA from 1 species